rnacentral:rRNA from 1 species
AUACGAGUUUGAUCCUGGCUCAGAACGAACGCUGGCGGCAUGCCUAACACAUGCAAGUCGAACGAAGGCUUCGGCCUUAGUGGCGCACGGGUGCGUAACGCGUGGGAACCUGCCCCUCGGUUCGGAAUAACAGUUAGAAAUGACUGCUAAUACCGGAUGAUGACUUCGGUCCAAAGAUUUAUCGCCGAGGGAUGGGCCCGCGUAGGAUUAGCUAGUUGGUGGGGUAAAGGCCUACCAAGGCGACGAUCCUUAGCUGGUCUGAGAGGAUGAUCAGCCACACUGGGACUGAGACACGGCCCAGACUCCUACGGGAGGCAGCAGUGGGGAAUAUUGGACAAUGGGAGAAAGCCUGAUCCAGCAAUGCCGCGUGAGUGAUGAAGGCCUUAGGGUUGUAAAGCUCUUUUACCAGGGAUGAUAAUGACAGUACCUGGAGAAUAAGCUCCGGCUAACUCCGUG